AGUGAACGCUGGCGGUAGGCCUAACACAUGCAAGUCGAACGGCAGCACAGUAAGAGCUUGCUCUUACGGGUGGCGAGUGGCGGACGGGUGGGGAAUACAUCGGAAUCUACUUUUUCGUGGGGGAUAACGUAGGGAAACUUACGCUAAUACCGCAUACGACCUACGGGUGAAAGCAGGGGAUCUUCGGACCUUGCGCGAUUGAAUGAGCCGAUGUCGGAUUAGCUAGUUGGCGGGGUAAAGGCCCACCAAGGCGACGAUCCGUAGCUGGUCUGAGAGGAUGAUCAGCCACACUGGAACUGAGACACGGUCCAGACUCCUACGGGAGGCGGCAGUGGGGAAUAUUGGACAAUGGGCGCAAGCCUGAUCCAGCCAUACCGCGUGGGUGAAGAAGGCCUUCGGGUUGUAAAGCCCUUUUGUUGGGAAAGAAAAGCAGCAGGUUAAUACCCCGCUGUUCUGACGGUACCCAAAGAAUAAGCACCGGCUAACUUCGUG
rnacentral:rRNA from 1 species